UCUUUGUGCCAAGGGAUGAAACCUGUAACCCAGUAUAUUUGGUGUACCCAGAAGCUGAUUUGAGAACAUGUGUCACAAUAUAAAAUGGUCAACAAAUAGAUCUCACUGUUAAGAAAACUAUAAAAGAUCGGUGGUACAACAUUCUGUAUAGUGCAUCAUCCUAGCGAUUAUGCUCCCAUAGAUUUUGCAACUCUGUAGCUUCAUAUUUAAAUUUGAUUUUCCAAAGUAUCUAGGAUAGCAAAAAGACUGGCCUUUAAUUUAGCUUCUAUUAGGCAACAUGCUGAUUAUAUUCCAUGCUAUGAAUGUUUUGCUCGCAAGUGUUAAAAUGUGUUAUAUAUAGUUUGUAGUCGCAAUUUAGAGGUCCUCUCUUAAUUGACUUGGUUUCUGAGCACAAGACUUUUUUCUUCUUCUAAAGAAAUAGGUACAUCUCUGCUUUUCUUCUUCGUCUUCCUUUGUCCUGUUUCCUUUUUUGUGCUAUGCAUCAUAAAUUCAAAUUCUCUCAUCAAGGUGGAAUAUGGUUCAUGUACCAUGCAGAAGGCUAUUAUGAGGAACCCGCACAAACAGUUGUCUUCACCAUAUGAGGAGAGAAUUUCUGCAUUUCAUUUUCUAUUGCCUGUCGCAAAAUGCCACUACACGGUCAUCAAGAUGCACCAUCGAUUUUGGAUGCAUGUAACUUGCUCAAGAUAUACUGAUCUUCAAUAAAAUAUGUGCUUUGUGCUUUCCCUUUCCAUGGCAACCAUCUGACUUCUCGCUUCUGUAUUUAUUUUUGUGCCAAUUUUAGUACCUAACGCAGAGCCCUCGGUUCAAUAUGAAUUGUUUGAUUAGGUGUGAAAAUGUACUGCUACAGUUCCGCUACGGCCUACUGUAUGGUCACAUGAAUAAAAACAUCAAAGACAUUGGUAAA